UACAAUGUGUGUAUAUUUAUUGAUAGAACUAUCAGUUAUGUAUAAAUCUGCAUUAUUCUUUUUCCUUGGCUGUUGAUGAUCCAGGUCGACAUCGGGUUUCUUCUAAUCAAGUGAUCAGGAUACAUAACAGCUGGCCCCUAACCAAGUGUGCAGGUUAAGAAAGUUCAACUUGUUGAUGCAACUCAGCUCUGUUGAAAGCAAAAGAAAGGAAGAAUACCAGGAAUGUAAGAAUGAGCCUCAGGACCAAAAAGCCUUUGUGGAACAAGAAAGACACACACAUCAAAAAGGAAUAAAAAGGCAGGGAAAGUAAAAAAGGCCUUGACUUUCCCACUCUGCUACCAAGGUAUCAGCAUCAGGAGGAGAGCCCAUUAAAGAGAUUCACAUCCAUUGGAAAGAUGAUGCAGAUGGUGGCUCCCUACCAAAAUAAACAAUAGGUAUGCACCAGUGCCACAAGAUGCUUCAUCUAAUGCCCACACUUUACCUGAAACUGGCACAGCAUAGGCAUGUGUCUCAUACUUUCCCUAGACUUGAAAGACCUCAGAUUCUAGGUAAUGCCUAGAAGGUUAUGGCCAGUAAUAGAUUAUGUGAGAUUGGCACGCACAUCCUUUUUCUGGUUGUUCUGCUGGUUCAUGAUGAUCCAAGUGGCAGUACUGCCAUGGUUGAGAGUUAUAGCCAAACCAUUCCCUGUUCCUUACCUUUAAAUGCUUCCAAAAUGAGGUAAAAUUAGUCGAGUAGCUAUCAGAUGAACGAAAAAGAGGUGGACAGAAAGAAAUAUUGGCUUCAGAAGUCUAUUAAUCUAUGUUGGCUGCUGGAAAAGAGUUGUUAUAAUGCAUCUCCAAGAGCUACCGACAGCAAGCCGAGACUUGUCAGAGAUAAGGAAAGCAGAAGAACAAAAAGACGACCAAGCAAACCAAAGUCGAAACUUCCAUUGAAGGAUAGAGAAGUUAAUAUAUGAGCUUGCAAGUCACUGAGAGCAAGAAGAACAUUAGAAGAAGUACAGGGACUCAAGACUGUAACAAGCUUUAUUUUGCACUCUUAUUACCAUAUCUAUUCACACAAGAAAAAUCAAUGCACACAGACCUGUAAAAAAAAUCAGGAAAAUUCUGUCACCCAAACCUUGCAAAUUGAGUUGUAACUUUCCA